CCAUUUUCGCAAUUUGCGAAAAAAUAAUCAUUGUGGCGAUAAAAAUUCGUCAUUUGCGAAAGAAUUUGGCGAAAGAAAUAUAUAGAACGAUUUAUUUUUCUCCAUCUUGUUUAUUUACUUUUUUCGAGUUUCUCGGACUUUACCCGAUCAGACAAUACUCGGAAUUCACCUUGACCUCAUUAAGAUUUGGACAGAAAAUCAAUAAUCAGCUGAUUGCAUUUUAUAGCUAUCGACAACAAAGGACUAAUUAAUAAAGGUGUUGAUUGAAUUGUUUGACAAAAUGAUAUGGUUAAAUGGCUUCCGCUAAAUGUCACAUACAGAGUUUAUUUACGACUUUGCGACGCACGUGUUUGAAGCAAACUUUUGACGUCUCCUCUCCUUUUAAAGAUAGUUUAGAAAAGAAAGCUGUUGUUGUGACGAAAAAUUUUCAAAAGCAAGAAAAAAAGGUAAAUUUUAAACGAAAAAUAUAGUUAUGUUACUUGGCGAAAAAAAUAAUAAAGUGGCGAAAAAUAUAUUGUUUUGGCGAAAGAGGUGGCGAAAAAAAUAAUUGACCCAGGGGAAACCCUGCCUGUUAUCUAUGAUGAAAUUGAGAAAGGAAAUGGGGAAUGUGUCAAAGCGACAACAACCCGACCAUAGAGCAGAC
rnacentral:lncRNA from 1 species